AUGAUAGAAGACAUAUCCAUUUUUGCUUCCAGAUUCAUUAUAAAGAAUGAUGUUCAAUUUUUUAAAUUAAGAUAAGCAUGUUAAAUAUUAUAAUAAAGGAGAGUGGUCCUCAAAGUAAAAUAGUUCAAGAGAGCAGAAUGGGCACAUGUUUGAUUUCCUCUCCAUCAGAUACCAUUGAUAUAGAAUAAAGAUAUACAAAUAUAACCCAAAUAAACAUCUGUGCCCCAAAUUAUAGCUUUAACAUGGUGUCUUCCUUAAUGAAAAAAAAAUCCCAACCAUAUAGUAAGAAGUGCAUUCUUAGGUCACAGCAAAUACCUGCAAUAACCUCUUUCCAUCUUCUUCUAUAUCUUCUCCCCUGUAGCAGCAGUACUCUGUGUGUGUGUGUGUUUGUGUGUCCCAAAUCUCCCAGAUACUUACCCCUCAUAUUCUUAUCCUUCCUCCAUUCCCCACAUACUACUAUAAUAUCUCCCUACUAUACACUUACAAGUAGCAACAGUUACAAAUAGAAACUUUUAUUCUUCUCCGUGAGCUGCAUCAGAUAGCUUCAGAAUUCUGGAAAAUACAAUGUUUCUUCACUUUUCUCCUCAAGAAGAAAAUGUGUGGAGCUUCCUAGGAAGUAUAAUUUUCUCACUCUAACAAAUUUUCAAAUCUUUUUGGAGAACUUCUGGUGAACAAAAUUCUCUACCACAUGACCCCAAAAAGAAUAAAUUUAUAGAUGUGAUGAAGUAAAACAAUGUGGCAUCAGACAGAUGUUUUUGAUAGAGUUUCUGACAAAGUGAGUCUAAUCAUAUUAACAUAUAGCCAGAGUUAGGAAACAAUAGAUGAACAAAGAAAAUUCCCAGAAGUGGAAUACCAGAGGCAGCAGAAGUAGAGGCAGAGUCAUUCUUCUUUAGAGAACCAAGAGAGGUCCAGACUCAAGAUUGGAAGGUAGAGAAUGCAGCAUUGGAUCUGGGGAAGCAAUCAGCAAAAAAGACAGAGUGAUGCAUUACUGUCCCUGCCAGGUAAAAGCCAACUGCUCUACUAGUCUCUGCUAUUCGGUUUGGAGAAACGAAGCAUUUUCCAGAUCACUAGCAGAUGUGAGGGGCUAUACUAAUUGAUUCUAGCAAAGAUAAGACUUUAGGAACAAUCGAUGCAAUUAGAGUCACUAUCGGAUUACAUUUUGGAUACCCUACUGUCAUUAUCCAAGAUCCAUCUGUCUUCUUGCACAGGCCAAACAGACAAUAAAUGAAGAAUAGGAAUCACCAGCCAUGCAUCUUGCACAUCGUUAAUGGCAACCUUAAUCUCUGCUAUUCUCUUGAGGAUUCAGUAUUGCUUUGGUUUAUAAAUUUGUCCUUUCUACUAUAAUAAAUCUUAAACUACAAGUCAGAGUGAAUAUUUUGCUAGUUGCUUAGUAUGCCUAUUCUAACUUUCCAUUCAGGUCCUGGGGAAAAACCACUAGUUAGAUCUGUGAACCUAUUGGACCCACCAUGAUAGAGGCUUGGGGCAAUUGACACCUGCAUUAGUCAAAAUCAUCUAUGUUAUGUAGAAAAACAAAUAACUCCAAAUAUCAGUGACUUAUAAAAACAGAAGAUAAUUUCUUGUCCAUAUUACAUGUCCAUCAUGGGCUGGAUAUGGCUCUAUCCUACACUUCUUUGCUCCAGGGUCUAGGCUAGUAGCUGCUAUCUGGAGCAUUGCUAAUCUUGUGGGAAAAGAAAAAGAAACAUGGGAAAACAUACUGUGUCUUAAAGCUUUUGUCCAGGAGUGACAUAUGACACAUGCCCACAUGUUAUCAGCCAAAGCAAAUCACACAUACACUCCUGAGUUCAAAAUGGCAUCAUAGAAUCCUGCCAUCUUGAAGGCACUGCAAAGAAAGAAAAUGGAGUAUUCAACAAAUAGUAAUAGGAUCUACUGCAUUGUCUGACCUGCAUGGACUUCCACCCUGACUGCGGGACCACAGCGACAUGUUGGAGACCUAUGGAGUAAUGUCAUCUCAGAGGCAGUAUACAUAUCUGCUGCCACUUACCGUCUAUCACUCUGAAAUCCUUCAUCCUCACUGAAAUCAAGGAGCCUAUUUCUACAGUAGCAUCUUCAGUCAUCAUCCUCAGCUUUGAAGGACAGACACAAGAGGGCUUUCCAAGAAAGAUGGAGUUCCUCUGACUAAUGUUUUCCCCUAUGUUUUGAUAAAGUGACCACUCCCUGAUAUGCUGCAGAUGCAAUUGAGUAGCAGCUUCAUUCCACAUUUCUCCAACAUCUUUCAUGGUGAGGUCAAGAGCAUAUUCAAAACCAUGUGUGGCUCAGUCCAACUGGAGAGACCAAGUCAAAGAGCCUCAUUUCCAUAAGGUAGAAUCUUGUCCAUACCUCUUCACUCACAACACAGACCAAUCUUGCAGAAGCCAGGAGGUUCUGAGUAAGGUCUGCAUAAAGAAAUAAUACCAUAGUUUCCAAUUGGCCAGUUUCGUUCUCUAACCAAACAGCUGCUGCCUGCUUACUGAGUGUGCAUGCCCACGCACACUCACACUGACUGUAACUCACCAUCAGCUGUAACCAGGCAGUUCUCUCAAGCCAUCUGCAGCUGGGCAAAAACCUAGAAUGAUUAAGUCAUUGAUAGAACACCACUUUCCUAAAAAUGGCAAUACUUAAAUACAUCUAAUCCUGAUCAAUACCUUGAUAUUCUAUAUCAUACAUUUAAAAAUCAAGUUGCCUAAUUAUUUUAAAUAUAUUCCAAAUGAACAAAAACACAUUAUAACUCCAAAUCACCAUGUUACCACCACCAUGGCGUGGAACCUUCCUGUCCACUCCAGAAGGCAGUUUUGUGCCCUCCUGGGCACCUGUGUCGCAGCCUAGAGACACUUAGACAUCCACCGGGAUAGUCCCAGGGCUCAGCUGUGUUGUUUCCAUGUCUCAGUGAUCACUUUUCUUUGUUGCCUGAUGUCUCAACAUUUUGAAAACUGCUGUUUCACAUAUUUUGUCUGGUUUUCUAGUUGCUUCAGACAGGAGUUAACUACAGUCCUUAUUACUUUGUCUUUCCUGAAAGCAGAAGUCUUUUAACUAAAGAAGGGUAGAUAUUAAAUGUAUCAUCUUUAGAAUUUGAUGAGAAAGUAAAAUUGCUUCCUCACUGUCCUCACCGGAUUCACAGGGGGAAAUGAUUCAGAGGCUUUUGCCUUUACCUCCUAGAGCAUGUUCUUGCAACUGUUGGGCUAGUCUUAUCUGGCCAAACUCUGUUACUAACAGAAUGUCUAGUUAUUUUGCAGGCACAGAGUUAAGAAGUGGCAAGUUAACACAGCCAGAGCAUGCACAGAAGAAAACUUCGACCUCAAAUAACACCUAGAACCAAAGUCCCUACCGCAGAACUAAAAGAUUGGGAUGUGGCUGGAACUCAAGCACCUAAACACUUUCAAAAGGCUUUGCCUUCCAGUGUCUACUUGGCCUUCCAGUGUCAGACAGCUUCUUGCACCUGACCCACUCAGCUGAGGACACAGAUGUCAAAAAAAAAAUCAUAAAUACAGAAUUCCAGAAAAUUUUACCAAUAUGUUAUAUUUGCUGUGGUUGCUUUAUAGAUUUUUAAAAAUUAUUGGUCCAGUAACAGGUCUGAAAUUUAACCCUUCUCCUGCUUUUGAAGCAUUUUUUAGGUAAGUAGUUUUCAUGCUUUGAUGUAUAUCAUCAGAAUUACCUGGGUGGUGGAUCUGGAAAUGUGUAUUUUUAAAGUUGGUGUUUUUAUUAAUAGACUUUAUUUUUUAGAACAGUUUUAGACUUACAGAAAAUUAAGGCAAUAAUACAGAAGGUUAUCCACACACACACAUAGAGUUUCCCCUAUUAACAUCUUACAUUAGUAUGGUACCUUUGUUGCAAUUAAGGAACCGAUAUUAAUAUAUUAUUAUUAACAAAAGGCAAUAGUUUACUUCAAUUUCCUUAGAUUUUACCUAAUGCCUUUUUUCUGUUCUAGAAUCCAAUUCAGGAUCCCAUAUUGUGUGUUUAGUUAAUAUGUCUCCUUAUGCUGCUCUUGGCUGUGACCAUUUCUCAGACUUCCCUUGUUUUUGGUGAUCUUGACAGUUUUAAGGAGUACUGUAAUAUUCAAGUGUUUUGUAGAAUUGCCCUAUAUUGGAAUUUGUCUGAUGUAUUAGUCUCGAGUUAUGAGUUUGGGGAAGGAGGAUCACAGAGGUAAAGAACCACUGUCAUCAUAGUCUAUAAAGGGUACAUGUUGUCACAUGACUUAUGGGUGUGGUUGACCUUGAGCAUUUGGCUUCAGUAGUAUUAGACAGAUUUCUACGUCGUAACGUUACUCUUUCAUUUCCCCUUUUCAUAACGUAUUCAUUGGAAGGAAGUCACUAUAUGCAGCCCACACCUAAGGAAUGGGGAGUUAUGCUCCCCCUCCAUUAGGAUGUAAUCUACAUAAUUUGGA